rnacentral:rRNA from 1 species
AGUGAACGCUGGCGGUAGGCCUAACACAUGCAAGUCGAACGGCAGCACAGUAAGAGCUUGCUCUUACGGGUGGCGAGUGGCGGACGGGUGAGGAAUACAUCGGAAUCUACUUUUUCGUGGGGGAUAACGUAGGGAAACUUACGCUAAUACCGCAUACGACCUACGGGUGAAAGCAGGGGAUCUUCGGACCUUGCGCGAUUGAAUGAGCCGAUGUCGGAUUAGCUAGUUGGCGGGGUAAAGGCCCACCAAGGCGACGAUCCGUAGCUGGUCUGAGAGGAUGAUCAGACACGCUGGAACUGAGACACGGUCCAGACUCCUACGGGAGGCAGCAGUGGGGAAUAUUGGACAAUGGGCGCAAGCCUGAUCCAGCCAUACCGCGUGGGUGAAGAAGGCCUUCGGGUUGUAAAACCCUUUUGUUGGGAAAGAAAAGCAGCAGGUUAAUACCCCGCUGUUCUGACGGUACCCAAAGAAUAAGCACCGGCUAACUUCGUG